rfam:Catellicoccus marimammalium M35/04/3 contig00109, whole genome shotgun sequence.
CCAUCUUUUUAUUUUUCAUCCUGUUCAAAUAAAAGGAUAGGAUAACCUCAGCGUAAACGUAUCAACUUGCAGUGAUGAACACCGAGUUGCUACGUUUUUUU